CCUACGGGAGGCAGCAGUGGGGAAUAUUGGACAAUGGGCGAAAGCCUGAUCCAGCCAUGCCGCGUGUGUGAAGAAGGCCUUCGGGUUGUAAAGCACUUUCAGUGGGGAAGAAAGCCUUGGGGCUAAUACCCUCGAGGAAGGACAUCACCCACAGAAGAAGCACCGGCUAACUCCGUGCCAGCAGCCGCGGUAAUACGGAGGGUGCGAGCGUUAAUCGGAAUUACUGGGCGUAAAGCGCGCGUAGGCGGUCUGAUAAGCCGGUUGUGAAAGCCCCGAGCUCAACCUGGGAACGGCAUCCGGAACUGUCAGGCUAGAGUGCAGGAGAGGAAGGUAGAAUUCCCGGUGUAGCGGUGAAAUGCGUAGAGAUCGGGAGGAAUACCAGUGGCGAAGGCGGCCUUCUGGACUGACACUGACGCUGAGGUGCGAAAGCGUGGGUAGCAAACAGGAUUAGAUACCCUGGUAGUC
rnacentral:rRNA from 1 species